GGCUGGACACACCAUUGUAUACUAUGGCACGUGAUGUGGGAGGCAUUAUACCACACAUUACACUCAAGGUGGGGUUAGGUUUCAGAACAAGAGAUGUGGGCAGAAUGAUGGAAAGAGCCAGUGUCAGCAAGUGGCUGCCUGCGAAAGAAUUAGGGAAAGGUGACGUGGAGGUGUCACAGGAUAACACCUUGAUGCGAAUCAGACACUCAUCUCGCUUAACGGGGGAGCCUCAAGUAGUUGAGGUGAUUGAGUGAGAGAGGAUAGAGGAGGAAUAUACAGUGGGUGACUUUAUGGGAAUCCAUACUGUAUAUAUGAUGGGUAUGAAGGAAUAGGUAUAGUUAUUGAAAUGUUGAAUACAUGGGUGUUGCUUGAGGAUUGUAGCUUGGUGGAAGUGAGUGGAAUUGGAUUGUGUAUAGAAUGGGAAUUAGUGGGAAUUAAUAAAUAACGUAAUUGACAGAUUGAAUAAAGCACAGUUAUAUAUUGCAUAGCAUAUAAUACAUUUUGACAAUUGCUCCUGGCUGUUGGUAAUCUGUGAGUUUCACACAUGGGAUUAUUUACGGUUUAUGAAUAUGAAAUUGGGUUUGCUGGUAAAAAAUACAGGUGUGAUGCAUAUUGGGUUGAAAGGUUGAUUAAGUAGUGGAUGAAUGCUGAGAGUUGGAUAGUCGCAGCUGGAGUGUAAACAUUUUAUUCUAACAAGGAUAUAGAAUAGGUACUUGGUUGAUAACUUUGAUAACAAUCUGCAUUGAAAUUUUUUGUUUGCAGGCCAGCAUCAGGAGAGAUAGUGGAGAAGAUAGCACAGAGGGUUAAGGAAUGUAGUGGUUGGUACAGCUGUUGUUGA
ensembl:lncRNA